UUCGCAAUGCCCGAAAGGGUGACGAAGCGACGCCGCGUGUGGGAAGAAGGCCUUCGGGUUGUAAACCACUGUCGGGAGUUAAGAAAUGCAAGGAUAUGAAUAGUGUCUUUGCUUGACUAAGGCUCCGGAGGAAGCCACGACUAACUCUGUGCCAGCAGCCGCGGUAAUACAGAGGCGGCAAGCGUUGUUCGGAAUUAUUGGGCGUAAAGAGCACGUAGGCGGCUAUGUAAGUCGGUUGUGAAAGCCUUCCGCUCAACGGGAGAACAGCAUCCGAUACUACAUGGCUUGAGUGCGGGAGGGGAGAGUGGAACUUCUGGUGGAGCGGUGAAAUGCGUAGAUAUCAGAAGGAACGCCGGCGGCGAAAGCGUCUCUCUGGCCCAUAACUGACGCUGAGUGUGCGAAAGCUAGGGGAGCAAACGGGAUUAGAUACCCCGGUAGUCCUAGCCGUAAACGAUGGGCACUAAGUAGAGGGGUUUU
rnacentral:rRNA from 1 species